AGCCCAGAGCCUGAAUCAGUGUGUGUGUUAGUGGAAGCGUCUGGAAAGGCGCGCGAUACAGGGUGACAGCCCCGUACACAAAAAUGCACAUACUGUGAGCUCGAUGAGUAGGGCGGGACACGUGGUAUCCUGUCUGAAUAUGGGGGGACCAUCCUCCAAGGCUAAAUACUCCUGACUGACCGAUAGUGAACCAGUACCGUGAGGGAAAGGCGAAAAGAACCCCGGCGAGGGGAGUGAAAAAGAACCUGAAACCGUGUACGUACAAGCAGUGGGAGCCUCUUAAUGGGGUGACUGCGUACCUUUUGUAUAAUGGGUCAGCGACUUAUAUUCUGUAGCAAGGUUAACCGAAUAGGGGAGCCGAAGGGAAACCGAGUCUUAACUGGGCGUUAAGUUGCAGGGUAUAGACCCGAAACCCGGUGAUCUAGCCAUGGGCAGGUUGAAGGUUGGGUAACACUAACUGGAGGACCGAACCGACUAAUGUUGAAAAAUUAGCGGAUGACUUGUGGCUGGGGGUGAAAGGCCAAUCAAACCGGGAGAUAGCUGGUUCUCCCCGAAAGCUAUUUAGGUAGCGCCUCGUGAAUUCAUCUCCGGGGGUAGAGCACUGUUUCGGCA
rnacentral:rRNA from 1 species